rnacentral:ncRNA from 1 species
AUCAGGAGAAACCAACUGUUUAAAUAAAACAAAGCAUUGCGAUGGCCAGCGUCAGGCACUGACCAUGGUGCUGAUUCAAUGUGAUUUCUGCUCAGGGCUCUGACUGUCAAAAUAAAGAAAUUCAAUGAAGCGUAGGUUUACUUAUUCUUCAAGUGGUUUAUUUGUGCAUGUUCAGUAAUUUUAACGUGGUUCCU